GACGAACGCUGGCGGCGUGCUUAACACAUGCAAGUCGAACGGAAAGGCCCUGCUUUUGUGGGGUGCUCGAGUGGCGAACGGGUGAGUAACACGUGAGUAACCUGCCCUUGACUUUGGGAUAACUUCAGGAAACUGGGGCUAAUACCGGAUAGGAGCUCCUGCUGCAUGGUGGUGGUUGGAAAGUUUCGGCGGUUGGGGAUGGACUCGCGGCUUAUCAGCUUGUUGGUGGGGUAGUGGCUUACCAAGGCUUUGACGGGUAGCCGGCCUGAGAGGGUGACCGGCCACAUUGGGACUGAGAUACAGCCCAGACUCCUACGGGAGGCAGCAGUGGGGAAUAUUGCACAAUGGGAGGAAGCCUGAUGCAGCAACGCCGCGUGCGGGAUGACGGCCUUCGGGUUGUAAACCGCUUUCGCCUGUGACGAAGCGUGAGUGACGGUAAUGGGUAAAGAAGCACCGGCUAACUACGUG
rnacentral:rRNA from 1 species